rfam:Anolis carolinensis unplaced genomic scaffold chrTn0117, whole genome shotgun sequence.
AGCCUUGGCCUUACUACCCUAAACAUAUCCAAUCUCAUCAGAUCUUGAUAAUGAAGCUGAGUCAGGCCUGGGUAGGAUUUGGACGAGAAACCACUCGGGGAUACUGGAUGCUGUAUGUC